rnacentral:rRNA from 1 species
AACGUAGGAGACGAACGUUAUCCGGAGUUACUGGGCGUAAAGGGCGUGCAGGCGGUUUGUUAAGUGCAGGGUGAAAGCUCCCGGCUCAACUGGGAGAGGUCCUUGCAUACUGGCAAACUCGAGGGAGGCAGAGGAAAGUGGAAUUCCCGGUGUAGUGGUGAUAUGCGUAGAUAUCGGAAGGAACACCUGUGGCGAAGGCGGCUUUCUGGGCCUUACCUGACGCUGAGACGCGAAAGCGUGGGGAGCGAACCGG